UAUUUUUUGUAAUCCCUAAACUAAAACUUGAUUCUUUAAAACAUUUUUGAUUUCUCUUUUCAGGUGCCCAUAUCAAGAGAGUUUACAGUAAAUAAGAAGAACUGUGAAUUCUGAAGCAUGCCACUCAGGACUUUGAGGUUACUUACUGCAGUCACGUAAGCAUUCUAUUCUAUGUACCUGUAAUAUGAACCACUUCAGGACUUCUUAAAGCUGUUUUUAAAUGUAUUGAAAUACUGUUCUGUUUUGUUUUUUCGAGACACAGAAAGCGCCCAAGUGGGUAAGGGGCAGAGGAACAGAGACUCUUAAGCAGGCUCCACGCCCACCAUGGACCCCAAGCAAGGAUCAAUCUCACAACCCUGAGAUCAUGACCUGAGCUAAAAUCAAGAGUCAGACGCCACCCAGGUGCACCUGCUCUCUUCAUCUUCUUAAAAAACUUUCAUGAUUAACGUAUCUUGCCCAAAGAAACAGACUGUAUAAAUGAGCCGGCUUCGUGGUUCACGUGUAGAAAUAAUUUAGCUAUAAAACCUAAAAUAAAAUUUGUAAGCUAAGAUGCCUAUUACUGGGACCUCUGAGAUUUGAAAGGGUAGAAGCUAUCAAAUGAAGUGCUUACAGGUCCGUUGUAUCCUCCUCCUCGUGAAUUCUGUCACCUAAUAAGAGUUUUAUAUUAAAGCUAUUUUUCCCCAUCCCAUUUGCUGAAUCACGAGGUCUGUUCCGUCACUUGAAAUACGGAUAUUUCUCCGUAAUGAGACGUUAUUAGAAUGUUACAUUCACCUUAGGCGCUAAAUUAUUUCCAAACAAAACAGACCUCUAGAAUUAAUGUAUAAGGUAAGAUCAAAUGAAAUACUUGUCAGUGGUAAUAAAAAUUUCAACUUACAUUUUUGCAACUUCUUUAACGACAUCACGGCAGGUCAUUUCUUUCAUCUAUAGAAAAUAUUAAGUUAUGAGUCGGGAGAACUUCCCACUUAUAUAACUAUUUUCAGAUUCUUUGCACAAAUUUUGUCAGUACCCCUGGUUUUGAACUAGAGUCUCAGACAUAAAACCAAAAACAUAAUACACUGAAUUUAAGAAUACCAGUCUUACUAGGAAAUACAGACCUAAUAUGUGGGACUGACUAUAAAAGCAACUGGCAUGGGCUCUUAAAAAAAUAAGCACUGGGAGAAGGUGAAGACUGAAAUGUGAGCCUUAAUUAUCAUGGUUUGAAAAAGUUACAAAAUGAAACAGAUUACUGAGGUGGUUUGACUACAGACUGAAUACCUAAUACUAUCGUCUGUGUAAUAAUGUUAUUCUACAGAGAUGAAUGCUGAAGCAUUUAGGGAUACAGCAUCAUGAUGUCUGUAAUUGUUUCAAACAGUUCAGGAAAAAAAAAAUGGGUAAAAAUAUUAGAAAAUAACUUUUCGAUCUAGACGGAGAGAUUUGUUGCACUAUUUAUCUUUCCUGUUUACAUUUUUUUCAUGUUAAAUUGGGGGGGAAGUGAAAAGAAUGCCUAUUUAUACUUCUGCCCUUAUAGGUUAUAAUUAGUGAAUUGUACCAUAAUAAUAAAGACAAACUUAAGUAAACAUGGAAAAGCACAUUUUAAGUGACAAUUAUAUUCUUAUAUAUGUUCAUGAAAUUUUUAUUUUAUGACAUAAUAUUCUUAGUAAAUAACAUCAGAAGAACAAGCCAGAGCAAUGAUGUAGAUCAUGGGUUGGCAAACUCCUUUAUAGAAAUAAAGAGCCAAGUAGUAAAUAUUUUAGACUUUAUGGUACAUAUGGUCUUUGGUCUGUGUUCCAACUCUUAAACUCUACUACUGUACUGUGAAAGCAGCCAGUGACUAAACAUGACUGUGUUCCAAUAAAACUUUAGAAAGCAGACAGUGUGCCAUAGUUUACUGACCUCUGAUUUUAGAGUGUGUUUUUGUCAUUAAGUAUACACAUGUUCCUCAAAGUGAUAUUCAUUCUUAGCUCAGAUUUGUUGAUUACAAUUUGACCUCAGAAAGACAGGAUAGAUGACUGCUCUGAAUACUGUAUUUUCAAAUUUCCACAUAACAUUCAGGAGAGAUGAAAGCAAGAGGGAAAAGAGAAGGUAGGAACUUAGCACCACACCAGGAGGGGUGUGAAAGGACGUGGUCUAAGAAUCAUGAGGUCUGUUCAUAAUCAACAUAUACUAUGACUCUAGCCAGUGUGUUUCACAUAGAAUUGAGCUAACCUAAAAUGACCUCUGAGGUCUUUUUGUCAAUUUUACUAAAAUACCAAAUAUAAAUUAGGCUUUUGUAGGCCUAUAAUUUGGCAUAAAAUUCUAAGCACUCAAAAAAUGUUUUCUAGAACCUGACCUGAAGUUGAAUGGUUGAGCAAGUUUCCAGUUCAGAAUAUUAAAUAUAUAUGAAAUUUUUUUGUCAUUUACCACAAUACUGAUAAAAUCCUGUCUUUAAUGGAAGUUUCUAAUAAAUAAUAAAGAGUGGAUACUGUUUCAAUGUUAA